rnacentral:rRNA from 1 species
AUGACUUAGUGGCGGACGGGUGAGUAAUGCGUGAGCAACCUGCCUCGGAGAGGGGGACAACAGUUGGAAACGACUGCUAAUACCGCAUGAUGUACAGAGAGGGCAUCCUUUUUGUACCAAAGAUUUAUCGCUCUGAGAUGGGCUCGCGUCUGAUUAGUUAGUUGGUGGGGUUAACGGCUCACCAAGACUGCGAUCAGUAGCCGGACUGAGAGGUUGAACGGCCACAUUGGGACUGAGAUACGGCCCAGACUCCUACGGGAGGCAGCAGUGGGGAAUAUUGGGCAAUGGGCGCAAGCCUGACCCAGCAACGCCGCGUGAAGGAAGAAGGCUUUCGGGUUGUAAACUUCUUUUAUGAGGGACGAAGGACGUGACGGUACCUCAUGAAUAAGCCACGGCUAACUACGUGCCAGCAGCCGCGGUAAUACGUAGGUGGCGAGCGUUAUCCGGAUUUACUGGGUGUAAAGGGCGCGUACGCGGGGAAGCAAGUCAGAUGUGAAAUCCAUGGGCU